GACGAACGCUGGCGGCGUGCUUAACACAUGCAAGUCGAACGGAAAGGCCCUGCUUUUGUGGGGUGCUCGAGUGGCGAACGGGUGAGUAACACGUGAGUAACCUGCCCUUGACUUUGGGAUAACUUCAGGAAACUGGGGCUAAUACCGGAUAGGAGCUCCUGCUGCAUGGUGGGGGUUGGAAAGUUUCGGCGGUUGGGGAUGGACGCGCGGCUUAUCAGCUUGUUGGUGGGGUAGUGGCUUACCAAGGCGUUGACGGGUAGCCGGCCUGAGAGGGUGACCGGCCACAUUGGGACUGAGAUACGGCCCAGACUCCUACGGGAGGCAGCAGUGGGGAAUAUUGCACAAUGGGCGGAAGCCUGAUGCAGCAACGCCGCGUGCGGGAUGACGGCCUUCGGGUUGUAAACCGCUUUCGCCUGUGACGAAGCGUGAGUGACGGUAAUGGGUAAAGAAGCACCGGCUAACUACGUG
rnacentral:rRNA from 1 species